GAUGAAGAACGCAGCGAAAUGCGAUACGUGAUGUGAAUUGCAGAAUUCAGUGAAUCAUCGAGUCUUUGAACGCACAUUGCGCCCCCUGGUAUUCCGGGGGGCAUGCCUGUCCGAGCGUCAUUGCUGCCCUCAAGCACGGCUUGUGUGUUGGGCCUCCGUCCUCCUCCCGGGGGACGGGCCCGAAAGGCAGCGGCGGCACCGCGUCCGGUCCUCGAGCGUAUGGGGCUUCGUCACCCGCUCUUGUAGGCCCGGCCGGCGCUUGCCGACACAUCAAUCUUUUUUCCAGGUUGACCUCGGAUCAGGUAGGGAUACCCGCUGAACUUAAGCAUAUCAAUAAGCGGAGGA
rnacentral:misc_RNA from 1 species